GAGUGUGGCGGAGCUUUGGAAUAAAUGACCAGACGGAGUCAGUAAAUCAAUAGUGACAUUUAGCAAGAGAGCAUGCAGCCUUGGCUAACAGUCAUCUGUGAUGUGUAGCAAUGUGUUCCUUCAUGAACAGAGCAGGCUUAAAAAAUAGUGGGAAAUUUAGUACGAGCUGCAGACCGAUAAAGACCAAGGGCGUUUCACCGUUGCACAAGUGGGGGCUGGAGCACCAGUUACAGCAUGAAUGACCGACAGUGAACCUGUUCCUGUACUGGGACCCGCCUCCCUGCGGAACUUUCCGGAAAGCGGGUGGCAGGCUGUGUGGACCCAGGGGCCCACCCCCUCGCUGAAGUGACCCAAGAGCAUCACUCCACCGGGCCCCGCAGGUUUCGGUGGUGUCUGGUAGGUGGCGCGUGACACAUCACUUGGUAGCGAUGUGCUUGUUUGUCGCACCGUGAGCUUGCAGCUUCCCGGCCCUGCAGAGCAGUGAGGAUGCUGGGAAGCGUCUGUGACUCGGCACUUCGGGAGCCCUGACAGUAAGUGACAGGCAUCACCAGUGAUGUUCCUCGGCAUUUCCAGCUCUCUCAUUCUCACGUGAAUCACACAUCAGUCAAUGAGCCCCCCCCCCCCCACUUUCUUUUUUCACACAGAAGCCUUUAAGUAAGUUUCUGUACACUUUUAAAAUUAAUUCUAAUUAUACAUUUAUUUAUGUGUAAUUAUACACUGAUCUCGCAUAACAAACACUUUCAAAUUUACAUAUUUAGAAUGGGGAGAGAGAGAGAGAGAGAGAGCGAGAGGUGUGAAAACAGGAGAUGUACUAUAGCCUAGUGGCAAACCUGAUAUUUCUUGUGGCAUGCAAUUCUAACAUGCGAUUUUCAGGAAGUUCGCAUUCGCUUUUGGAUUCAUUCCCACGAAGUUUCCCCUUUGUUUCACACAUGCAUGUUCCCGCCACAGAUGCGUGUUUACGUGGCAGCAUGUCGUGAGUGAAGAGUUUUCUCCAGUAAAUAUUGCGACGUUGCUCGUGUGACUGGUUUCCAGAAAGACAUUUUAUCGUCAGAAAUGCGACUCCAGGCUGGGCGUGAAGAACAAAGCGCCGAGACCCAGAAAAUGAAGAGCUUGCAACUUCAGCACUGACUGCUUGAUAAGAAACAGCCACUUGUCACCUGGGUUUUAUCGUGACAGAUCUGGCCCAGAAUUUGACCUGCCGCCUGCAGCUUAAUCUGGUCUCAAAAAUGGCGGUUUAUGGUGUGGCUUGCGCUGCAAUGACGUGGGGCACGUGCUGAAGACGCUGUGAGAAAGUGUGAGGCGUCGUACAGGUUCAUAAACGAGCCCGGAUGGCAUGCGAGUGGGUGUCGUUAGAGGAAACUGUACCAUAACAUCAGCACUUGUUUUUCAUAAACUGCGAGUCGCGUGACUGCGCUGCUCUCCAGAGAGCAAGACUCAUCCAGCCGUGCAUUCCUUUCUUCCUUGAGUCUUGUUUUUCUUUCAUUUUUCUUUUCCUUCUCUCUGCAUCCCUUGCUCUGGGGGGCGGGUGGGCAAAUGAAAACCACAGAACGCGGCGUGACUGUGAGGAUCUAAUAUGUGAUGGAUGGACGUAUGGAUACUUGAAGAGACACAGAUAGAUGGAUAGUAUCUUACUGUAGAAUCGAAAACAAAAGUUCAAACAAUUACCUCAUUUUAAGAAUCUUAAUCUUUUUUUCUGUGGACUCUCAUAGCAAUUUCAAA